CAGCGUGGACACCCUUGUGGGCACGCGCCACAAUGGCUACAAGAUGACGACCUUCACCAGGGUCACUCAGGAUGUCCGGGACAUGAUGCUCAAGCGCUUUGGGGAGCGCAACGUGGCUAACUCAGAACCGUGGAGGCUGCCUUUCAAAGUUUCCGCCAAGAUCAUGGGACCCCACCGUCAAGGACUGUGCCUCGGGAUCCGGUUCCCAGGUUCCCAGCACACAGUCAAGCCCCAGAGCUGAACCAGCAGCCCAGCGGAGCAGCCUUCAGCUCAGGCCUCCUGCAGUCUUCAGCCAGGAGAUGGUGGGGUUCGUCUCCAACUCCUGACCUCAAGCGAUCCUUCUGCCUCAGCCUUUCAAAGCACUGGGAUGUCAAGUGUGAGCCACCACUCCUGGCCACAUAUGCUUCUCUCCAGAACCUUGAACAUGUCAAGUCUUCUCAUUUUUGGAAGUCAUACGCUUUUCACUGUCUGGAGAACCAGGAAUCCAAAUGUCAGAGCCCUGAUGGCCAUGUUUUUCUAGUAUUUUCAAUGUGCUUCUUCAAGUGCAAAAGGAUCAAGGCUUGGAAGAGGCAUUCACCUUACUUAGUCAUCCAGCUCUGGAGACAAUGAAGAUAGUCCCAGCCCACCUCCCACUUAGAUGGCAAUCCACUUCCCUAGAAAGCACAGGGGUGUUGGAGCGAAGAACAUGCCUUGUAACCACAACAAAUGAAACCACACGACAGCAUGGCAGGGCCUUCACUGAAGACAAAAGUAGCUGUUGACUUGGCAUUUAUUUCUGUGUAAGCAUUUGAAAAACAGACCCAAAAGGAAGCACCUGUGUGGCAGUCCCAUAUUUGUACCCAAGAAGUUCUCAUACAUGUGGUACAGGCUUUGGGGUCAGAUAGAUCUGGGAUCAUAUCCCAACACUACCUCCUUCUAGAGUUUGGAAAGGGGCAAGUUCCUUCGCUUCCCUGAACCUCAGGUUUCUCAUCUAUCAAGUGGAAACAAUGCUGUUUACCUGGUGGGGUCACUGUGAGGACUGGAGAGGGAGCUGAGGGCCUGGCAUGGCAGAGAUUGGCAAGGAGUGGGUGCUUGGUGAGGAAUAGCCACAUGCAAAGGAGAAGCAGCCAUCCCUGCCACGUGCCACACCUUAUGUUUCUGUUUAUAUACUGGGAAAAAAAUGAAACAGAACCCUGUACUUCUGAUGACGAUUAAUCUGACAGUUACCAGGGGACGGGACCACGUGUAAAUUGCCCUAAUCAGAACACAGAUAGUAAU
rnacentral:lncRNA from 13 species